ensembl:snRNA U6 U6 spliceosomal RNA
AUAAAUUCUCAUAAAAACUAGCGAAUUCAAACGAUACAGAGAAGAUUAGCAUGGCCCCUGAGCAAGGAUGACACACAAAUUCGGGAAGCAUUCCAUAUUUUU